rnacentral:rRNA from 1 species
AUACGGAGGGUGCAAACGUUGUUCGGAAUUACUGGGCGUAAAGCGCGCGUAGGUGGUCUGUUAUGUCAGAUGUGAAAGUCCACGGCUCAACCGUGGAAGUGCAUUUGAAACUGGCAGACUUGAGUACUGGAGGGGGUAGUGGAAUUCCCGGUGUAGAGGUGAAAUUCGUAGAUAUCGGGAGGAAUACCGGUGGCGAAGGCGACUACCUGGCCAGAUACUGACACUGAGGUGCGAAAGCGUGGGGAGCGAACAGGAUUAGAAACCCCAGUAGUCC